GUGUUCUAGGGAAAUCUUAGUAGCUCAGUAGGUUGGUUGGCUAAUGGCUACUUGAACUUUCACCUUGUUGGUGAGGGUUCGAUUCUCCACCUUGUAAUCCCCUCCCCCUUUCCGCUUCUCCUAACCCCAGUUUUUCAAAAAAAAAAUCAGAGUGUUCUACAGAAAAAUGGAGGUUCACCCCACUGUUUAGAAUGAGGCCAACAGAGAAAAGGGAACUCUUAGAGGGUGGUUGCCCCUCUGUUUAGCCUAUGAUUUCCCCGUAAACAAAAUCAACAACCCUUUUCAUAAGUACUAGUACUGUUUCUUGUUUUCUCUAAACUUAGACCAAACAUCCCUCUAACUUUAGCUUAUGUUUGUGGGAUUUCACUGGGUAGGUUGUUGUUUGUCAAAAGUUGCUCGAAAUUGUCCAAACACCUACUUGUAGGGAAGUUUCCGUCUUUCAAAUGAGGUUGUGAUGAUAAUGCUUAUGGAAGAAUCCUAACCAUAGUUUAACCCAGAAAGGAAGAAUGAGACAUCAGAGAGAUAGGAUUUUCUGUAAAGGGUGGUUGUCCUCUCUCUGUUAUGUCCAUGAUUUUUCCUCUGUUCAUAAAACACCAACAACCCUUUGGGAAAAAGAAAAGAUCAACAAUUGUGUAGGCAUUUUGCCAUAGAUUCCAUAUAUAUGUAUGUGUGUGUGUGUGUGUGUGUGUAUAAUAUAUAUGUCUAUGCUUUUUUCCUUUUUAUGCUUGUGCUUCUGCAAGGUAGAAUUGAUACAACAAGAUAGCUGUUUUAUUAGGAGUUCAGAACCUAAAUAAGGUGUUUAAUUGAUAUUGAUUGAUCUAAAAAUGGGCUGUGAUGAUGAGUUUCUUCUUUCUGGGCUAAUAAUCUACUGCAUUGAGAAGAUCUGACUCGUAUCUUGGUGCGACAUCAUCUGCAAAUCGGUGUCUUGCAGCCAUGGCGUGUGUUGGUUUCUCUUUGCAUGUUCAUAUACAGCAAACUCUGAGCCCUUAAGUGUAUGGCAAGCAUGUGAUGGUCUUAAAUGUAUGGUUGUUCUUGGGAACUGAGAUACCCACUUCGGUUUUUCAGUUUUUGUUGAACCCCAUUUUCAGAUGCAGUUCUCCAUCAAAUUUUAUCUUAAAAAUGAGGUAAUCGGAGUGAAAAGGUGAUUUUUCUGGGUGGUUGACCAUCUCCGGUAUGCCAAUGAUUUUAUCUUAGCUCUAAUCAACAGCCCUUUUAUCACAUCUAUAUUAUAUUAAAAGCAUGGAGGUCAUUAGCGAAAUGUUAUUCGCUUUUUUUACCCGUUAAAACUAGAUUUCACACUAGAUGAAGUUGUCAUUUUUACUAUAUUCCUAAUACUUAGGACUUUAAAUCAACUAAAAUCUAUGUAAUAUCCUUCUUAAUAUAUUUAGGACUUCAAAUCAACCAAAUAUGUGUUUGUGUUCUAGGAAUGAGGCUUUUCUAUGGAACUCGAGAAAGGUUGAGAUUUUCUAAGGGUGGUUAGUCCCUUUCUCUGAAGUUCAAUUUAGCCGAUGAAUUUUCCAGUACUUCCGUUACAAAGAGAGAGAUUAACAACCCUUUUAUCAUCUAAUGCCAAUAAUGAUCUUGCUGUUGAUGAUGAUUAACCAUGGCUAUGGUAGCAAACAUCUAAUUAGAUUUUCAGAAAACAGAAGAAAAAAAAAGAACUACUUUUUCCUUCACUGAUGUUCUCUUGGUCAGCCAUGGCACGAGCAAAAGAACUUGUGAAUUGGGUAUUGUGCUAUAUAUAUAUAUAUGUAUAACAUAGUGUGUUUUUGCAGUACCCUCAUCAUAGUUUUGCCCAGGAAUGAAGAAUGAGACAUCAGAGAGCUGGGAUUUUCUGUAAAGGGUGAUUGCCCCCUCUCUACUAUUUAUGUCCAUGAUUUCUUUCUCCAUUCAGAAAAAAACAACAGUCCUUUGAGAAAAAGAAAAGAUCAAGAAACUGAAAACAAGACCAUGCAGGCGUUUGGCCAUAGAUUCCAAAUAUAUAUAUGCUUUUUCUGCUUGUGCUUCUGCAAGGUAGAAAUGACACAACAAGGUAGCUGCUUUUUUUAAGAGUUCGGAACGUAAAUGAGGUGUUUUAUUGAUGUUGAUUGAUCUGAUAAAAUGGGCUGUGAUGAUGAUUUGCUUCUUUCUGGACUAUAAUCUGCUUGACUGCGUUGAGAAAAUCCGACUCGUAUCUUGGCAGGGCGACCCGGUAAGGCAUCCAUUUGCAAAUCGGUGUAUCUGCAGCCAUGGCAAUGUCGCUUUCUCUUUGCAUGUUCUUAUACAGCAAAAUCUGAGCCCUUUAGUCUAUGGCAAGCGUGUGAUUAUCUUAAAUGGAUGGUCGUUUCAGGAACUGAGAUACGCAGUUGGAUUUUCAGCUUUUGUUGAACCCCAUUUUUCAGAUGCAGUUCUCCAUCAAAAUUUUAUCUCAAAAAUGAGGUUAUCGGAGUAAAAAGGGAUUUUUCAGGGUGGUUGACCAUCUCCGUCUGUUACUGCUUUUACAGGAAAAGCAGCUGCAAAAGCAUAGAAAAAUGGAGGUUCAGCCCAGUAUGAAGAAUGAGGCCAACAGAGAAAAAGGGAAUUCUUUGAGGGUGCCUCUGCUUGGCCUAUGAUUUCCCCAUAAACAAAAUUAACAACCCUCCUUAGAAGUACUAGUACUGUUUUUAUUGUUUUCUCUAAAUUCUUUGAGGGUAGUUGCCCUCUCUAAUUGACCUAUGAUUUCUCUGACCAACCAAACCAACAAUCCUCCGUUGGUAUAUGUUUCUAUUGAUGAUUAGUUGAUAGCAGCAGUAGUAAUACUCCCUCUCUUCUAAUUCACUUGUCUUGAACCUGUUCACUAUUGAUAUGGAAAAGAAUCCAUCUUUCGAAGGAGGCAGUGAUAAUAUUGCCAAUUCUGGGCAAGGAGAAAAUCCGACUCGUAUCUUGGUGGGGCAAACCCAGAUUAUGUAACUGGUUGAUUUUGCAGCCACGGUGUUGUCAUCUUCUCUUUGCCCCAUUUUACACAGAUAUGAGCCUCAACAUCCAAUGAGUUCCAGGAUCCAAACCCCGAAAUUCAUUUGAUGGAAACCUUGUUCAUUUUAGCUCUAAAGGACAAGCCAAUCGGAGGAAAAUGGGCAUUUUUACAGGGUGGUCGACCAUCUCUGGUAUGUCAAUGAUUUCUUUGCUCUAAUCAACAAUUCUUUUAGCUUUUGUAUGUGGAUGAAGUGCACAAAUAGCCGCUUUUAGACCAUUUCCAAUGUCAUUGGGUGUUGUAAUUUCCUGUAUUUUAGGACCCUGUUUAGAGAAUAGCUGAAGUUUACAAAGUUGCAGGGACUUACAGUUUACAGAGUAAUGGAAGCUUAGCCCAGUAUGAAGAAUGAGGCCAACAGGGAUAGGGAAAUUUUUUUGGAGGGUGGUUGUCCUCUCUGGCUGACCUAUGAUUUCUUGUUCAACCAAAUCAACAACCCUCCAUUGGUAUAUUUGUGAAACUUCCCAAAAAUAAAUAAAUAAAUCUGUUGCCAUUGAUGUAAUGUUGCUAGCAGUAGUAGUAAUGUCAUACUCUCUCCAUUUCAAUAUACUAGUCUGGAAAACUGUCCACAAAUUGGUAUAGAAAAGGUUCCAUCUUUCUCAAAGACGCAGUGAUGAUAUUGCUAAUUCCGCGCUGAAAAUCGGGGCAUGGAGAAAACCCGACUCGUAUCUUGGCAGGGCAAACCCGAAUCACGUAACCCGUUCAUUUUGCAUCCAUGGCGUUGUCGUCUUCUCUUUACCCCUUUUUUGCACCAAUCUGAGCCUCAACUUCCAAUGAGUCACUUCGAGUACGCCGGGAUCGAAACCCAGAAUCUCAUUUGAUGGAAACCCUGGUCCCUGUUCAUUUUAGCUCGAAAACAUGAGGCAGUCAGAGAAAAAUGUGGAUUUUUUCAGGGUGUUAGACCAUCUCUGGUACGUCAAUGAUUUUUUCUUUGCUCUAAUAAACAACCCUUUUAGCUUUGUUUGUGGACGAAGUGCAGAAAUUGCUGUUUUAGACCAGUUCCAAGUUCAUUGGGUGUAAUUUCCUGGAUUUACACUGUAAUGGAAGCUCAGCCCAGUGUGAAGAAUGAGACCAACAGUGAGAAAAAGGGAAUUUCUUUGGAGGGUGGUUGCCCCCUCUGAUUGGUCUAUGAUUUCUCCUUUAACCAAACAAACAACCCUCUGGAAAAGUAGAAACAACCAACAAUAUUUGUUGUCAUUGCCUUCAAUGGUGGUAAUAUGAUGCUGAUGUAAGUAAUACUAUUCAAUUUUCUGAUCAUUCCGAGAUAGCUUAGACCAAAUGCUUUUGGUAUGAAAUACUCAGAGAUCUGAAGGUCUCAUUUGUUUCAUUAAUAUUUCUUGUUAAAGUUAUUCAAACGGACACUUAUGGAAAAGUUUCCAUAUUUUCUGAAAGAGGCAGUGAUGAUAUUGCUUAUCUGGGCUGCUGUUUGGGGCAUGGAGACUAUUUGACCCGUAUCUUGGCAUGGCAAACCUGGAUGGCUUGUGAUCGAGUCUUCUCUUUCACAUGCAACUGGUUCUUUUGCAGCCAUGGUGUUGUCGCCUUCUCUUUGCCCCCAUUUUUUGCUAGUCUGAGCCUCAAUUUCCAACUAGUCCAACUGGACGUCCCAGGACUCAAAGAGUUCUGAACCUAAAUGAUGAAAAAAUCUCUGCAUGCACGCACACACAUAUCAUGAGAAAAUGUCCAAAAUAGUCCCUUAUUGAGGCAGUGAUGAUCUUUCAGUCUAUCCUCUUGAGCUAGUUAUUGAGCAUUGAGGGUACCCGAUGGCAACCUGGCGUGGCAAUUACCCGGAUGCCUGUGAUUUUGUUGCAUGCAACUUGGGGAUAUUUGCAGCCAUGACAUGGCAGGACUUUCUUUACCUGAUCAUGAAUAGAAGAACUGAGCCUCAAUUGUCACAUUCAUCUUACUCUGGAUGUUUUAGUAUGGAGGAAAAUAUUUUAGUGAAGCCGCCCUAAAGUGGCUAAAUGGUGUCAUAUCUACAACGAAGACCUUUGACAUGAGGACCAUAAUGAGGCUGUGAUGAUUUUUUGUCUUUACUCAUCAGAUGGUUGAGCCUUGCUAUAUCUUGGCGUGGCAGUUUUGUUGGGGUAUUGUGAGAUAGUGGAGCUAUUUUUGUUUCUGUGUCUCACAAAGCAUCCUUAAGCUUGCAGCCAUAGUGGGGUUUAGCUUAUGUAUGAGAAAAGGCAAAUCUGAGCCUCCCAAAUCUCUGUUUGUGUUGGAAAAAUGAGGCUUUUUAUGGAAACUCGAGGAAGGUUGAGAUUUUCCAAGGGUUUUUGCUCCCUUCUAAAGUUCAAUUUAGCGAAGUGAUUUCCCUAUUCCUUUGUUACACAGGAAAGUACACCCAAUGACCUUGAUAAUGGAUGGUCUUGACCCCGCUUCCCCCAUGGCAAACCUUCAAAGUCGAAGUCAGAAGUCAAAAGUUUCCAUGGAGUAAGUGGGUCAAAAACCACACACAUCUACAGGCCAUUCUUGUAAAACACCCUACUUUAGUGCAUUGAGAAAACCUGACCCGUAUCUUGGCAGGGCGACCAGGUAUGGCAUCAUUUGCAAACUGGUGUCAGCAGCCAUGGCGUUGUCCCUUUCUCUUUGCAUGUUCAUGUACAACAAAAUAUAAGUCCUAAAGUCUGUGGUUAAUAUCUCAAAUGGUCACUCAACUGAUGGGGAUUGGCAUGGCAGCUUUAAGGCUCUGUGAGAUAUGGGAACUAUAUUGGUUGUCUCACUGGACUAUUGAUGCUUGCAGCCAUGCGCCCACGUCCAUUGUUUAGCUUUUUGAAUGAGAAAAGGCAAAUCUGAGCCUCCAAGUAUCUCUGUGUUCAGUAAAUGAGGCUUUUUAUUGAACUCGAGAAAGGUAGUGAUUUUCUGAGGGUGGUUAUUCUCUUUUCUCUUACGUUCAAUUUAGCCAAUGAAUUUUCUUAUGCUUUUGUUAGACAGAUAUAGUUUAACAGCCCUUUCAUCAGCAAAAUGUUCUUGAUGAUGAUGAUGAUUGCCAUGUUUAUGAUAAUAAUAAUAUUAAUAAUAAGGGAACAUACAUUUUCCCGCCUUCAACUUGUGUAGAAAACCCCGAAUCCUCAACCCUAAACUUUGUGAAUGAGGCUGUGAUGAUAUUCUCCAGGAAGUUUGAAAAUCAGUUUUUUAAGCUGAUUCAUAUCUUGGCUAGGCAAAGGCAGGGGAAUUCAUGAGUUUUGUUCUUACUUGCUCUGUCACAAAGGUAUCUGCUUUUUGCAGCCAUGGUGAAUUAGCCCUUUUUUCUGAUUGAUUUUCACUCAAAAUCUGAGCCUCUUUUCUGUUUAAAGUUUGGUUCUACAAUAUGUAGUCUGUUUUUUUCAUCCUUCGUACGAUCAGCACAUAUAGGAAGAGUCCCCUUUGAGAAAAAAACUUCUUAUGUAUCCAUCUACACAAUUUCCAUAAAUUGUUAGGUACUGAUACGAAACAAGUUCAAAGGGAAUGGAAGUGGAUAUUUAGGAUCCAUUUACUGUCUUUAACCAAUUUGAUAUUGAAGCUGGUUGUUGCUGCAUUUAUCUACACUACUCAAACUUUCAUGCCUUUUUAGAUCCUGAAUGCACCAAGUUUCCGAGGCAAUGAAGAUUAUUUAUAAUGAAAAUGAAAAGUGAAUAAGAUGAGAGUUGAUUCAUUGCCUGGCUUGGCUAAGCCCAAUUGGAAGGUCUUGUAAGGCAAUUGUUGCUUGCAACUGCAGCAGUGUUAACUCUGCUCUUCCUCCUCCAUUUUGGAUUAAAUAAGCGAAAAUCUGAGCCUCAUUCUUAACAUAGUUCAUUUUCUUUUUUAAACUAGUCUUUCUGGAAAGAGAUUUAGAUUGCCAUCAUUAUGGAACCAUUGAAUCAACAGCUUCGGCUGCCACUGCCAAAACCCUAAAGAAAAAAUUCUUUUCUCGGUUGAGUACAUGCAUUUGUUAUCUGAUGAAGGUGAAUCCAUACCUAAACAUGAGUAUGUCAGCUAACAGUCCGUUCUACAGUUCAUGUCGCGGCUGCAGGAUCAGCGGCAUUCUUUUCAGGUGAACAAUGUUGCAUUUCAUCUUUGCUGUGCGGUGGACCGGUGUCAUUUCAAUUGUUGGUGGUACUAAUGGUAAAGAUUGCUGGUUCAAUCAUGAUUUGGUUGAACGAAAAUUGGAUCUGCCCUCAUGAAAAGAAGGAAAAACCAGCUUAUAUUGAACCUGAGGAUGAAGUGUAGUCGCCAGUCGGUGACAGAAGAGAAUGUAGCCUCAAGAAUGAGGCAAGCCCACCCACCCCUCGUGUUGUCGCUGAGCAUUUCCAGGGGCCAUAACGCCCGUGUAUCACAUUGCCUCAGCUUGCCUACUUUGCAUGAGACCUCAAUGAUGCAAUUCUCUGAUUCUUGACUACUGAAGUUCUGCUAAUGCUUAAUGCACCAUGUUUGUAUUUUUCUCACCCAAGAAUGUUGAUUAAUAUGGACAAUAUUUCUGUUGACAAAUUUUAUGCCUUCUUUGAAGUCAAAUUUUUCAUCUUGUAAUUGCAGCAUCCACUGGAUGAUGAUCAUCAGAUCAAUCAUAUCAUUUGAAUUAGUUGAAAUAUGGAAUAUUGUACAGCUAA